GAACGAGGUCACAGGAAUUUUUCUCUGAUCGUACAGGCAUAAAACGCGAGUCCGGCCUACGAUUUACUGAACACUUUUCGAUAGAGGAUCCCCUGGCAACAACUGAGCGUCAGCUAAUCCGUAGCAUAACAAAAAAAAAAGCAUGCAGCUGAAAGUGAUCCUUGUGGGCUUGGCCAUUUUUGGUCUCAUUAUGGCAGAGAGCAAUGCCAUGCAGGGCAGCAGCUCCAGUGAAGCCGAGGCCAGGGCUGACCCCGAGAGUGCUGAGCGUGCCGAGCCGAACAAUGCCGAGGAGGCACGUAUCGGCGAAGCAUGCAUGGCUUCCCUGUGCGGGUAGUGACUUGAUGCCAGAGAGCGAGACGUUCGAAAGACUGUCUCUCGCAACAGUUGCAUGAAUACG